rnacentral:rRNA from 1 species
UACGUAGGGACCGAGCGUUGUCCGGAAUCAUUGGGCGUAAAGAGCGUGUAGGCGGCCACUUAAGUCCUGCGUGAAAUCUUGCGGCUCAACCGCAAGCGGUCGUGGGAAACUGGGUGGCUAGAGUGCGGGAGAGGAGAGUGGAAUUCCCGGUGUAGCGGUGAAAUGCGCAGAUAUCAGGAGGAACACCUGUGGCGAAAGCGGCUCACUGGACCAUAACUGACGCUGAUGCACGAAAGCUAGGGGAGCAAACAGG